GUGUACAGGGUGGUGGUGGUGGUGUACAGGGUGGUGGUGGUGGUGUACAGGGUGGUGGUGGUGUACAGGAAGGCAGACAAAGCCCAUUGCAUCGUGUUUGACGCCACUGAGAUCGAUGCAGGAGAAAUCAUUGUUCUUGUGAGCUUCACUCAGGAUCACGGUUACAUGGAGAUCCCUGAUUAUGUAACGGAAACAGCAGAAGAAUGAUUUGGAGCAAAAUAUUGUUCUGAUCUUCAGCCAGACAAGUUAGGCCAGAGUAACUCAUGGCUCCUCUGGUGAAGAUGUGGUGGAGGACCCAGCCGCUCCGCACCGGGCCCACUGUCACUGGGGCCGUUCUCUCGGGAAGGCUUCGGUGCGUUACUCCAGAAAGAUUCCUGUCUGCUCUGAAGAUGAAUGUCAGAACGGCGGCGCAUGUGAGAGGAUUCUGGACUCCAACCAGGAUCUGCAGGUGUAGGAACAGAUACUAGGAGGACGUGAGCUCGACCCCCAUCAGAACCGUAGAGGACGGGCUGAGAACCCUGGAGUCCAAACUGGAAGAAGUCAUGAAGAAAUGUCAGAUUCUGCAGAUUAUUGAUGAUUCAACCUGAAACUGGUACCUGAAAAACACCUGAAAGCAUCUCUGAUGGCAAAAAGCAAGAGCUGAUAGUCCUUCAUUAACACAUGAAACUCAACAAACCACCAGCAGGUGGCGCCAUAGUAAACAUGAAACCACAUCUAAAGAGUUUCUGGUCCUCAGCUGGUUUUGGUCGUUUGGUACCAGAACUUUGUCCCGAAGGAAAAUGAAGUUAUAGAUUCAAACAGAUUUCAGAUAAUAUCUGGAAAAUUAUCACCAAUAAAAACCUCUGAAUGUUGUGCCAA